GGUUGAUCCUGCCAGUAGUCAUAUGCUUGUCUCAAAGAUUAAGCCAUGCAUGUCUAAGUAUAAACAAAUUUAUACAGUGAAACUGCGAAUGGCUCAUUAAAUCAGUUAUAGUUUAUUUGAUGAUAAUUUACUACAUGGAUAACUGUGGUAAUUCUAGAGCUAAUACAUGCACAAAAAUCCCAACGAAAGAAGGGAUGUAUUUAUUAGAUACAAAACCAAUUCAUGGAAACAUGAUUUUGGUGAAUCAUAAUAACUUUUCGAAUCGUAUAGCCUUGAGCUGACGAUGCAUCAUU
rnacentral:rRNA from 1 species